UACAGAGGUCUCAAGCGUUGUUCGGAUUCAUUGGGCGUAAAGGGUGCGUAGGCGGCGCGGUAAGUCGGGUGUGAAAUCUCGGAGCUUAACUCCGAAACUGCCUUCGAUACUGCGGGUCUCGGAGUCCGGGGAGAGGUGAGUGGAAUUCCUAGUGUAGAGGUGAAAUUCGUAGAUAUUAGGAAGAACACCAGUGGCGAAGGCGGCUCACUGGCCCGGUACUGACGCUGAGGCG
rnacentral:rRNA from 1 species